UGCCUUUCAGGGCUGGCCCUGUUAGCCUGGUUCCCAGCUCAGAGCUCUGUAUGCUGAUUUGAAUCACAGUCCUCAGAAGAGCAGAACAUUGGUGCUAGGAAGGAUUAGAGUUCUGAGCCAUCAAACCAGCUUCAAGGUUUUUCUUUUCCCAUUAUUUUGAUGUUUGAUAGCAUGCUUAAAUUAAAUACUUGGAAGAUUACAUUUUGCUAAAUAAUGCUGUGAGCAAACAGUUUCUGCAGUCCAGACAUUCUUUCACCCGAGAACAUUUUCUUUAAAAGGUAGCACGUUUCCUUGGACAGCAGCCAUCCCUGGCAGCAGAUCUCAGCACUCAGUAGGAAACCCAUGCCUUUGAGUUCUGAACUAGCCCAUACUGGAAUUAAAACACAACACUAACAGUCAGAAUCGGUUGUUCUUGGUGGGUUGGGCCACAGUGCAGUUAAAAACACACAAAAAAAUGGAAGUCAAAUGUCAACACAGAAGUUUAAUUUGGAGGUCUGUGGACAGAUGGAGAGUUGAAGUCCACUCCCUACCUGUUUAG
rnacentral:lncRNA from 1 species